AGGUCAGGCGGGGCCACCCGCUGAGUUUAAGCAUAUCAAUAAGCGGAAGGAA
rnacentral:rRNA from 1 species